GUUAGACUGUGCGUCGGGUCCAAUUCGGUUUCACGGUUCCCGCGAGUAUUAUCAUCCGACAGUGAAUUGCGCCCACGAAAACCGAUCGCGGAGGUUUCGAAGUGCGUCGGGUAUUCGUCGCAUCGCAUUAAAGAAACGUAUAUGUAUAUAAUAAUAAAUUGUACAGCAAUAUGACGUUGGUACGGCAGCUUGCUUCUUGGAGCUGGUCGAAAUCGUCCUCUACAUUUAAUAUUUGUUCCUCGAAAUGUAGCGAGAGGAGAACGAUCGAAUGCAUUAUCAUCACAAGAUAUUUGUUCGCUUAUUUCACCUUACGUGCAAGAAGUGCAACUAAUCGAACAUAUCUAGAUAUUGCGACGCGAUUGGUUCGCGUUCGGACAUUUCGAGAAUCGCAAUGUCGCGUAUCGAUAGACUUCAAAUCGCGGUCAGUACAGUAAUGCAACGUAUCUCUCGUGAGAUUACAGAGUCGCGUUUAAACCGCUCCGUAUUCUUCGCAGUUAUUACUGUUUAAAAGUAAAUCGUAUGAAUUAUCGCGAUUAUUAUUGAAGCGAACGUUCGCGCGAGAUCAUUAGAGCAUUAGAUGUUGCACACGAUCGUCUUUAUAUAUCGAUAUCGCGAUUCGGUGACCACGGCGGAUUGGACGAUUCACUUUUGCACAGUUACAACGGUUACAACAUCGCUCGAAGUUAUUCUUGCGGCCUGUUUCGUGCUCAAAUAUGCGGAAAGUGCGAUGAUUUUACAAUCGAAAUCGAAAGGUACGUUCUUGUUACAUCAUUAGUUGUAUUUUCUGUAAUAUUUGAAUGAUUGUCAAUGUUUGCAAGUACGUAAACCAAAAGCCGCCAUUUUCUUCUUUCGUUCUUUGAAGGCAUUUUGAUGCUAUUAGAGACCAUAAAUGUAAUAUAAUCUAAAUCUAGAUCUAAAAAUAAUAGAAAUCUAAUUAGACAAUCAAUUUGAUAAAAAUUUUAUUGAACAAUUAAUACGUUUCGAAAUUGUUAUGAAAAAUUCAUGAAGAAGAAAUUUAUAUAUAUACAUAUAUUUGUAUUCUAAUUUUUUAUAUAAUCAUAAAAACAAAUUAGAUCAGUAAAAUGAAAUAAAUAUGUUGAAUAAAUUAAAUAAGUAAAUGGAGAAUUGAGAGCCGUGCUUCCUUCGGUUUUUUGAAACUAAAUUAACUAUAGGAAGCUAAAUCAUAUGUAUAUAUAUAUAUUUUUAGUUUUUCUAUAAUUAAUUUGGUAUGUGUGUAAUUUUACAUUAUUGUUUUAGAAAAAGAAAACUCGAAACUGUAUGACAAUCACAUAAUCAUUAUGACAUUUAUAGUAUAUAAAAUUGAACAGUGUGACAAUAUUUAUAUAAUCAUCUCAAGUGGUUUUAAAUUGUGCAAGUUUCGCUUUAUGUCUUAACUAUCGCAGAAUCCGAAUAUGCCAAGUCGGGUUUCUUUCAUCGAAUCGCUUUAUUCUCUCGUAAUUCUCCCCAAUUAUGUACAAAAAUAUAAUGAGAAUCAUUACAGAGUUCGUAACAUUAGGUACAUGACGCGAUACGCUUUUUCAUUAUCGUGGCCUCUCGCGCUUCCGUUAAAUCUUCUUAAAUGCGUCUGCAGAACGCAAAAUUCACAUAAAGAAAUUCACACGUGGAGGGAAACGCGAUAGUUACAUAAUAAUUAUGAGCGCAGAUCGUUCCUUCACGUACGCAUAAUAUCGCUCUGUUAUUUAAAAUUAUGCCGUGAAAUUCUAUACGGCUAUUUGCAUUACAUACAAAAUCAACAAAAAUAGUCAAGUGGACGCAAAAAUCGGAAAGAAAACUUUCUGCUCAAUAUCUUUCAUGCGUUUUUUUUCGCUAAUCUUUGAUUUAGGAAAAAUUGAGCUUUAAUCUUGAGAAAAUAAAAUAAUUUAGGUUUAGAAAAGAAGGAAAAAGGUAAGAGACGCGAUGUACGACGGUUUUUAUUUAAAAUAGAAUUUUCAAAAUUAUAUCACGUGGGAUGAUGCUGAAAAUACAAGAGGAAUAAGAUAGGAAUGCAUUUGUCUUUACUGCUGAUUCAAUAAAGACAGCUGUUUUCUUCAGAGGAAAAUAACCGUGUGUUUAUAGAGUAUUAUAGCUGCAUUGCAAAAGUUAUGAAGAGCCAUAUCAUGGUUCUCCUUAGAAAAAUAUUGUGUGGUCAGUAGACUCCUUUCUUACGACGCGUAAGAAAGGAGCCUUUGCAACGUUUGAUUGCUCAAGUCGAUCAAGUAUAAUCGAAUAAAAUACAAUGGCAAUAUAAUGUGCUCGUAGAAAAGAUAUUGCAUCCAUCACUACGAAAAAUGGAAGCUUUUCCUGUCUCAGCAAAAGUUUUAUAUCUGUUUAUUAGUUGCCUAGAGAGGCACCAAGGGCUGAACGCAUCGUGGACGAUCCCUCUGUUCAGCUUUGUGCGUUCGCGCAAAUGUUUAUCAGACAAUGUGAUUCCUCAUAGCACAACGAUUGACAUAGCACGAAUCGUGGCGCGACGUAUUCUAAAAACUCGCUAAAAAACGAUUAUCAAGACGAGACACUCGCGUAAAAAAGUUACUGCAAUAUAACUUACGAAUCGUUAAGAGUCGCUGCGUUGCUCAAGUAUUAUCUUCGCAAAUGUGUGUGUUCAUUGGUAAUAUACCGUAAUAGCGUAAUAUCACAAAUUAAACGAGACUGAGAAAACGCAAAUUAGUCACUCUGUUACACGUAUACAGCUAGCUUUACUUUUUAUCGCAUAAUUGUGCGUAAGUUAAAGCACGCACAAAGAUCUACCGUCGAACGCUCAAAAACUCAUCCAAAUACUUCUACUUCAUGUACUCUCCGCCUUAAGUUCUUUUCGUUCUCGUGAGAUUUUGUGCAUACUCUGUCAUUCCGUUAUAUAUACGGCAGUUUUCUUAUGUAAAAUGGUUUAAUCACUUGCGCUGGAAUAAUGUAACGUGCUAGACAUAUAUAUUAAUGUGAUAUACAUUAAUAUAUAAUAUAUAUUAAUAUGAUAUUCACAUCGAUGCCCUUCCCGCGCCGGAUUUGUCAAAAAGUUUGUCGCGUGUCUUCUUUUUGUGGUUUGCAAUAAUAUAUAUGCGAUUAUUACAAUAUUGUCUGUUCAUUAAGACUGCACUUCAGCUGAUACUCCAAAUGCUUUCUUUCCUUCUUUUUAAAACGAGGAAAAGGAUUUUUGAGCGUUCUAGUUCGCUGCAACAUUCUACGAGGUGGAUGCGCGCAGUUACCGUUGUAUUGUCCCAGCGCACGUGGUUAACUGAUAAUGAUUUAAUCGAUAAAAGAAGAGCAAAAGAAUAAUGCAUAUCACAUGUACAUCGUCAUUCACCUUUCCACUAUCGUAGAAAUAUUGCCUUCUAUUAUUCUUAUGCUAAGUUGGAGUCACCAAAGUCAAGGCUCGAUGUAUGAGUGAUGAAUUGACGAUGUGAAAUCGGCGACCGUAAGGUCAAUUCCAGAAUGCAUUGCAAUAGCUCGGGAACUUAGAGAAUGCAUUUACUUAAUUUUAAUAAGCGCUAACUAUUUUAAUCCUAGUACAGAAUAUGUGUAUGAAGUACAUAAUUAAUAUAUAAUAAUAUAGCGACAUAUACGCCUAAUGUAUGCAGUCCUGAUGAUAUUUUUGCAAUUCAUAUUUAUCGAAUUACAGAAACAAGUUACAUUAAACGAUUGUUUGUUACAUGAAGACAAUCUUGUGUAAUACUAUUUUCUGAUGGUAUCAUCGCAUGUUUCGUUAAAACGAUGAGAGAAAGGAUGUAGGAAUUCGCUGCAGCAUUAGCUUUCACUUUUCACAGAAGCAAACGAUAUAGAUUCCAAUAUUAAUUAAUUGUAACGUAUUUCUGAAGACCGAUGUGUUAUUUCGAAAAGGAACGACAAAUCGGAUUGUGAGUCAGGUGUUUUCGAAGAUAGUCAAUCAAUUAAUACAUUAUUAAACAGGGAUUUAAUUUUAUUACGAACUAGUAAACCUCUUUUUUUUCACCAGCAUUGUGUUGGUUCUCGGCCAAGUUUCUUAACAAAUAAAUAGAAAAAUAUUCAAGAGCAAUUACAGUUAUCGCAAAACGUAGUUUUUAACACACCAGUGCGCGUUACGAUGUUCGAGAUCUUGUGGCAUGGCGUCGUAGAGAUACAAGAACAAAAAGAAAACAGUAUUAUGUGCAUAGAAGGGUUAAAUCUUAAUAAUUACCGCUCGCAUGAGAAUGCGCUAUCGUGAGUGUAAUCGGCGAACACUGUCAUUGCGUUUGUGAACAGGAGGAGAUGUUCGAACGUUUCGCAAACGCGGAACUCGUACGUGUGAGUGUAAAAAGCGUGACUCUUUGGGUGACGAUGUUCGUUUCCAAUUGUUCCGCUAUAUUUGAUCGUCACGAUUGUACGUAUACUUUCAUAAGGGAGCUCAUUACGACGAACGCGACGUAGGACUACGCUUAAAAUCCCUUUUUCUUCGUUCGAUAGAGUUAGCUUAUCCGCCUGUAAAAAUAGCCGAGGUUGAGUUUAUUACAGCUGAGAGAAACGUUUUAUCAUCAGUUUUAUUAUACCUGGGUCAUCAUAAAUAAUAUAUCCAUAAAAAUAGGAAGUGUACAAAUAUAUUGAUCUUAUAGUGCAACCAUUACGAUCUCUAAAACAUUUUCCCUUUCCCUCGUACAUAGUGUUAUUCGCGUGUGUACAUUUCUUGAGACACAUUCGUUCGAGUCAUUCAUCGACCUGCGUGAUCAUGAACUCACGGAUCGCGUGCAAGAGAGGCUCGUUACUCACAGCAUGCGUUCCCUUUCGCUCGAAGCCUGAUUCUACGACACUAAAGCUUCGUGACUUUCGCAACUUGAAUGUCGCAUACGCUUCCCGAUCGAUCAAAGCUUUCGUAUUAUGUUGUGCACAAGAAUAACGAGCUGCAGUGCGGUUCAUAAUGUCGUUUUGAGGACAAAGUGAUCGAAGCAAUGAAUAAACUUUUUCUACAGUUUAUUGCUCCGUCGAUAGAAUCAAGCCUCCGACUGAAAUACACGGAAGAUAUAGCCGAUGUAGUUAGUUGCUAGUAAUUCAUAAUCACUUUCGGCUUUAUCUCGAAAUGGCGAACGAUAAAAAAUAAUUUAAUAAUAAUUACUUUCGAACAUAAUUAAUAGAUAUCAAUUUUUCAAUAACAUUUUUGACUAAUUAAGUAUCUACCAAUAAAAAUUAAGAAUUAUUAAUAAUUCGACGUUUCGCAAAUUAUUAUAUUAUUAUGUAGAAAAAUCGUAUAGUUUUAAUCAAGAAAGCUGUUUAUUAAUACAUUGUAACGUUUAGGAAGAAACUUACUUUUGAAAUAAUGAGCGAUAAAAAGUAUUUUAAUAUCGAUUAAACAGAUGCUUCUUUUAAAUAAAUUCAUUGUGUUAUUAAUAUUGAACAAGUUGCUAUCACAUUAAUGCGUUUAGCAGAUUUAAUGAAUCCGAAAUGAAAAGAGAAAUUUAGAAUUUCAAAUAAUUUGCUGUUUCAUCAUACUCGACAAAA